GCAGCCUUAUGUAUCAGUCCAUUGCUAGCCUGUCUUUUUUCGAGGGAUUUGGUCCUAUCACCGGUUUCGAUCGAUGUUCUAGGACUCGUAUAAAUACAUUCUAAUCUCGCUGUGCCUGGUUUCAUAUUAAACACGAUAACAGUGCAUAGCAUGAAUGGAUGGUGCUUCGUAAGUACUUGGGUACAUAUGUAGUUGGGGUUAUAUAUGUAGUUGUUAGAAUUAUAAUAGUUUGAAAAGCAACAUUUCUCUUCCUAGCUAGCUGCUCAACUCAAUUUUUAUAGAGGAUUUAUAAUUAGAGGUAUUUAUUAUACAGACUCUUUACUGUCUUAUACUUAUUUUCUUCACAAUAUUCCUUACAAUUUGACUUAAGCUCAAAAAACAAAUGCAUUAGAAGUAGGACCAUUUUGAUAUAAAUGCCACUAAAAAUAUUUCAAGUUGCUUUUUAGAUUAAAAUUAAUUUUGUAAACUCUGUGAUAUAUUACUGUGUACCAGUAAUAAUUAUGCCUCUGUACACGUCGCAACCAAUGUAUGUAUGCGCGGGCUACUGGCGCAGCGCAGGAAUCAAAUCCGGCCACGCGCUGCACCCCGCCACAGGGAUGGACUUCACUUACCCCACGGGCGUGGGUUGGUAGCUCCACCUGUCCCCACCCAGCCACGGGGUAAGUCAGACAAGCUACGGUUAUAACUUACCCGACACCGCAAGUCCCAUCUAGUCCGCGUGCCCUCCGAGCGAGCACAGGGGCAAAACAGCAAGGAGGCUGUGGAUGGGAUGUCUAACGUGUUUUAUACGUCGAUUGUUUGCAAUAUUGAUUGUAAUGUAAUAAAGUAAUUGAAAUGCA